rnacentral:rRNA from 1 species
GAAAAGAAACUAACAAGGAUUCCCCUAGUAACGGCGAGUGAAGCGGGAAGAGCUCAAAUUUGAAAUCUGGCAGUCUUCGAUUGUCCGAGUUGUAAUCUAUAGAGGCGUUUUCCGUGCCGGACCGUGUCCAAGUCUCCUGGAAAGGAGUAUCAAAGAGGGUGAUAAUCCCGUACUUAACACGACCACCGGUGCUCUGUGAUACGUCUUCUACGAGUCGAGUUGUUUGGGAAUGCAGCUCAAAAUGGGUGGUGAAUUCCAUCUAAAGCUAAAUAUUGGCGAGAGACCGAUAGCGAACAAGUACCGUGAGGGAAAGAUGAAAAGCACUUUGGAAAGAGAGUUAAACAGUACGUGAAAUUGUUGAAAGGGAAACGAUUGAAGUCAGUCGUGUUCUUUGGAUUCAGCCAGUUCUGCUGGUCUACUUCCUUGGAACGGGUCAACAUCAGUUUUGUCCGGUGGAUAAAGGUAGUAGGAAUGUGACUUCUCCGGAAGUGUUAUAGCCUAUUAUCACAUACACUGGGUGAGACUGAGGACUGCAGCUCGCCUUUAUGGCCGGCCUUCGGGCACGUUCGAGCUUAGGAUGUUGACAUAAUGGCUUUAAACGACCCGUCUU